AGAACGAACGCUGGCGGCAUGCCUAAUACAUGCAAGUCGAACGAACACUUCGGUGUUAGUGGCGCACGGGUGCGUAACGCGUGGGAAUCUGCCCUUGGGUUCGGAAUAACAGUUGGAAACGACUGCUAAUACCGGAUGAUAUCGAAAGAUCAAAGAUUUAUCGCCCAGGGAUGAGCCCGCGUAGGAUUAGCUAGUUGGUGAGGUAAAGGCUCACCAAGGCGACGAUCCUUAGCUGGUCUGAGAGGAUGAUCAGCCACACUGGGACUGAGACACGGCCCAGACUCCUACGGGAGGCAGCAGUAGGGAAUAUUGGACAAUGGGCGCAAGCCUGAUCCAGCAAUGCCGCGUGAGUGAUGAAGGCCUUAGGGUUGUAAAGUCUACUUUUACCCGAGUAUGAUAAUGACAGUAUCGGAGAACUAAGCCCCGGACUAACUCCGUGCCAGCGACGCCGAC
rnacentral:rRNA from 1 species